GAUGAACGCUGGCGGCGUGCCUAAUACAUGCAAGUCGAGCGAACAGACGAGGAGCUUGCUCCUCUGACGUUAGCGGCGGAAGGGUGAGUAACACGUGGAUAACCUACCUAUAAGACUGGGAUAACUUCGGGAAACCGGAGCUAAUACCGGAUAAUAUAUUAAACCGCAUGGUUCAAUAGUUAAAGACGGUUUUGCUGUCACUUAUAGAUGUAUCCGCGCCGCAUUAGCUAGUUGGUAAGGUAACGGCUUACCAAGGCAACGAUGCGUAGCCGACCUGAGAGGGUGAUCGGCCACACUGGAACUGAGACACGGUCCAGACUCCUACGGGAGGCAGCAGUAGGGAAUCUUCCGCAAUGGGCGAAAGCUUGACGGAGCAACGCCGCGUGAGUGAUGAAGGUCUUCGGAUCGUAAAACUCUGUUAUUAGGGAAGAACAAAUGUGUAAGUAACUAUGCACGUCUUGACGGUACCUAAUCAGAAAGCCACGGCUAACUACGUG
rnacentral:rRNA from 1 species